rnacentral:rRNA from 1 species
GAUAAACGCUGGCGGCGUGCCUAAUGCAUGCAAGUCGCACGGAGUCAUCUUUCGGGGUGAUUGAGUGGCGAACGGGUGAGGAACGCGUGGACAACCUACCCCGGCGUGGGGGAUACCCGCCAGAAAUGGCGGCUAAUACCGCGUACGGUCCAGGGGCGAUGGGCUCCCUGGAAGAAGCAGUGAUGCGCGCUGGGAGGGGUCUGCGGCCGAUUAGCUGGUUGGCGGGGUAACGCCCACCAAGGCGAUGAUCGGUAGCUGGUCUGAGAGGAUGAUCAGCCACACGGGGACUGAGACACGGCCCCGACUCCUACGGGAGGCAGCAGCAAGGAAUUUUCCGCAAU